rnacentral:pre_miRNA from 1 species
AUUGGGAUAGCUGGGUCAAAUGGUGAUUCCGUUGAAAGUUUUCUGAGGAAUCUCCAUACUGCUUUCCAGAUUGGUUGCACCAAUUUGCAGUCCCACCAGUAAU